CUGGCUGUGUCAAUCAGCUCUGACCAAAGACAGAAACAUGCAUUACUACAUGAAGAGGUUUGACCAAACUACAGUCAGACUAAAUGGACUCUACUGGAGGCUGAAGAGUGGAGACUAAUAAUUCAAGUCAGUUGGUGCUGCUGUGAAACACCUACCUGAGCUACAGAGACACAGCAGCAGCAGCAGCUGCAGCUUCUUCCCCUCCAUCUGGAUUUCGUCUGAAGCUGCCUCUCACCUCUCAUCUUUAUUUGCUCUUUAUCAAAGCUGGAAUCAAGUCCAACCUCUAGGGCGGCCACACUGACGAUGAUUU